rnacentral:rRNA from 1 species
GACGAACGCUGGCGGCGUGCUUAACACAUGCAAGUCGAACGGAAAGGCCCUGCUUUUGUGGGGUGCUCGAGUGGCGAACGGGUGAGUAACACGUGAGUAACCUGCCCUUGACUUUGGGAUAACUUCAGGAAACUGGGGCUAAUACCGGAUAGGAGCUCCUGCUGCAUGGUGGGGGUUGGAAAGUUUCGGCGGUUGGGGAUGGACUCGCGGCUUAUCAGCUUGUUGGUGGGGUAGUGGCUUACCAAGGCUUUGACGGGUAGCCGGCCUGAGAGGGUGACCGGCCACCUUGGGACUGAGAGACGGCCCAGACUCCUACGGGAGGCAACAGUGGGAAAUAUUGCACAAUGGGGGGGAGCCUGAUGCAGCAACGCCGGGUGCGGGAUGACGGCCUUUGGGUUGUAAACCGCUUUCGCCUGUGACGAGGCGGGAGUGACGGUAAUGGGUCAAGAAGCACCGGCUAACUACGUG